AGCAGCCGCGGUAAUUCCAGCUCCAGUAGCGUAUAUUAAAGUUGUUGCAGUUAAAAAGAUCGUAGUUGAAUUUCGGGGUCAGUAGGCUGGUCGUGCCACCGGUACGUACUGGUCUCACUGAUUCCUCCUUCCUGAAGAACCGUAAUGCCAUUAAUUUGGUGUUGCGGGGAAACAGGACUGUUACUUUGAAAAAUUAGAGUGUUUAAAGCAGGCUAACGCUUGAAUACAUUAGCAUGGAAUAAUGAAAUAGGACGUUCGAUCCUAUUUUGUUGGUUUCUAGGAUUGACGUAAUGAUUAAUAGGGAUAGUUGGGGGCAUUAGUAUUCAAUUGUCAGAGGUGAAAUUCUUGGAUUUAUUGAAGACUAACUACUGCGAAAGCAUUUGCCAAGGAUGUUUUCAUUAAUCAAGAACGAAAGUUAGGGGAUCGAAGACGAUCAGAUACCGUCGUAGUCUUAACCAUAAACUAUGCCGACUAGGGAUCGGAUGAUGUUAAUCUUUAAUG
rnacentral:rRNA from 1 species